GAUGAACGCUAGCGGCAGGCCUAAUACAUGCAAGUCGGACGGGAUUCAGGAGCUUGCUUCUGAUGAGAGUGGCGCACGGGUGCGUAACACGUAUGUAACCUACCUUUAUCAGGGGGAUAGCCUCUCGAAAGAGAGAUUAAGCCCGCAUAAAAUCACAGCACAGCAUUGUGUAAUGAUCAAAUAUUUAUAGGAUAAAGAUGGGCAUGCGGAACAUUAGCUAGAUGGCGGGGUAACGGCCCACCAUGGCGACGAUGUUUAGGGGAUCUGAGAGGAUGGCCCCCCACACGGGUACUUAGACACGGACCAGACUCCUACGGGAGGCAGCAGUAAGGAAUAUUGGUCAAUGGUCGGAAGCCUGAACCAGCCAUGCCGCGUGCAGGAAGACGGCCCUACGGGUUGUAAACUGCUUUUAUACUGGAAUAAACCCAGAUACGUGUAUCUGGCUGAAUGUACUGUAAGAAUAAGGAUCGGCUAACUCCGUG
rnacentral:rRNA from 1 species